UAGCCUUGACAUUGAUAGAAUACACCAGAGAUGGAGUAGUGCCUUUCGGGGAACUUGAAAACAGGUGCUGCACGGCUGUCGUCAGCUCGUGUCGUGAGAUGUUGGGUUAAGUCCCGCAACGAGCGCAACCCUCGUCCUUAGUUGCCAGCAGGUUAAGCUGGGCACUCUAAGGAGACUGCCUUCGUAAGGAGGAGGAAGGUGAGGACGACGUCAAGUCAUCAUGGCCCUUAUGGCUAGGGCUACACACGUGCUACAAUGGGGCGUACAGAGUGUUGCGAUACCGCGAGGUGGAGCUAAUCACUUAAAGCGUCUCUCAGUUCGGAUAGCAGUCUGCAACUCGACUGCUUGAAGCUGGAAUCACUAGUAAUCGUAGAUCAGCAAUGCUACGGUGAAUACGUUACACGGGUCU
rnacentral:rRNA from 1 species